rnacentral:lncRNA from 1 species
AGAGAAGAGUAGUCCUAUGAGAUUUAAGAGGUCUAUGAGAUUUAAGAGGCUAAAUUCAAGAGUCUGUGGUCACAGUAUUGUGAUUGAUGGAAAAGAGUUUCUAUAGAAGUCACAACUAGACUUGAGCUAAUCAAUCUAUCAUAUGACUGAUAUUGAGGUUUGACGAUUUAUUUAUGACCUGCCAUCUAGUCGGAACUCAUGAUAGAAAAACUAAAUC